rnacentral:sRNA from 1 species
CAACGAUUGAAAGGAGGUGGUCCAAUGUCUCAUUGUCAUACGCCAUUCGCGGCGAGCGCCUUGAGCGUGGCCUCCCUCAAAGGGAUUUGCCGCGCCUAAGGAUGGCUGCGACAGGCAGACAAUGGGAAGGCCGCUCCGCAAGGAGCGGCCUU